GCGACUUCCGCGUUCCGGCCGGGCGGUGAGCUACGGCUCCAUGGCCGCGCUGGCCUCGCGAGUGGAGCUCGGCUUCGCCGAGGAGGCGCCGCCGUGGCGGUUGCGCAGCGACCAGUUCCCGAGUAAGGUGGGCGGGCGGCCAGCGUGGCUGGGCGAGGCCGGGCUGCCGGGGCCCGGGGACCUGGCCUGCGCGCGGUGCGGCCGUCCGCUCGCCUUCCUGCUGCAGGUGUACGCGCCGCUGCCGGGCCGUGCCGACGCCUUCCACCGCGGCCUCUUCCUCUUCUGCUGCCGGGAGCCGCCGUGCUGCGCCGGCCUGCGAGUUUUUAGGAAUCAGCUACCCAGGAAAAAUGACUUUUACUCAUAUGAGCCACCUUCUGAGAAUCCUCCCCCAGAAACAGGAGAAUCUGUGUGUCUCAAGCUUAAGUCUGGCGCUCUUCUCUGCAGGGUUUGUGGCUGCUUAGGCCCCAAAACAUGCUCUCAGUGCCACAAGGCACAUUACUGCGGUAAGGUGCAUCAGGCUCUUGACUGGAGAUCAGGACACAAGCAGGCGUGUUCACAGCCGGAUCAUUUGGACCAUGCAAUUCCAGACCACAACUUCCUUUUUCCGGAAUUUGAAAUUGUAAUAGAAACAGAAGAUGAGAUAAAGCCUGAAGUUGUGGAAAAGGAAGAUGCUACAGAGAUUGUGGGCAGCAUGAGUAAGCAGUUUCAGGACUUCAUUCCCCAAGUGAAGCACUGGAGGAAGAACUAGAUUCCAUGGCAAAACAUGAAUCCAAGGAAGAUAAAAUUUUCCAGAAGUUUAAAACUCAAAUAGCCCUUGAACCAGAACAGAUUCUCAGAUAUGGCAGAGGUCUUGCUCCCAUCUGGAUUUCUGGUGAAAAUAUCCCUCAAGAAAAGGAUAUUCCAGCUUGUCCCUGUGGUGCCAAGAGGAUAUUUGAAUUCCAGGUCAUGCCUCAACUGCUCAAUUACCUGAAGGCCGAUAGACUGGGCACCAGUGUGGACUGGGGCAUCCUGGCUGUGUUCACCUGUGCCGAGAGCUGCAGCCUGGGGACUAGCUACACAGAGGAAUUUGUGUGGAAGCAGGAUGUAGCAGACACACCUUAAAGGCAUCUUAUACCUUGCAAUUCCAUUUCUAGGACUUUAUCCUAAGGGAAUAAUUAUACCAGAAAUAGAGGCACAAGAGAUACAGAGCUGUUGCUUGAGGUAUUGUUUAUAGUGUCUAAAUAUUAACACACAAAUGUCCAACAACAGGGAAUUAAAUGUUGGUGUUCUGCAGUGGAAGGCUACACAGUCUCGAUGAUACACACUUAUGUGGACAGCAAACAAGGUACAGAUCUAAAUUCACAUUAGACGCCACUAUGGGUGGUAUUCAUGAUAUUACCAUAUUUUUGUAAACAUAUUUAUACAUGUAUAUGUGCACAGAAAUCUGGGAAAGAGACUAAGUGUGAACUGGUUAUCUGUGAAUGGUGGGAAUAAGUAAAAUGAUCUUUUUACUUAUAUGUGCAUUUCUAUAAUAAAAAUGGGUUAUGUACCAAGUUAAGUCAAA